UCGACUAGCAUGCAGUCGAGAGGGGUCAAGCCCUCGGCGAACUGCUCAGUAACACGUGGAUAACCUGACCUAGGGUGGAGGAUAACCCCGGGAAACUGGGGAUAAUACUCCAUAGGCUACGGAAGCUGGAAUGCUCUGUAACCAAAAGCUCCGGCGCCCUAGGAUGGGUCUGCGGCCGAUUAGGUUGUUGUUGGGGUAACGGCCCAACAAGCCGAUCAUCGGUACGGGUUGUGGGAGCAAGAGCCCGGAGAUGGAUUCUGAGACAUGAAUCCAGGCCCUACGGGGCGCAGCAGGCGCGAAAACUUUACAAUGCGGGAAACCGUGAUAAGGGGACCCCGAGUGCCUGUACACGCAGGCUGUUCAGGUGUUUAAAACGCAUCUGGAGAAAG
rnacentral:rRNA from 1 species